CAGUUGGCGGGAGGCUCUGACACGCGGUCCAUAUCCGGCCGUCGGGACCGCGCCGAGCCACUGGCGAGACCGACCCGCGUGCUC
rnacentral:ncRNA from 1 species